rnacentral:rRNA from 1 species
CAACAGGGAUUGCCCUAGUAACGGCGAGUGAAGCGGCAACAGCUCAAAUUUGAAAUCUGGCCCUCGGGUCCGAGUUGUAAUUUGUAGAGGAUGCUUUUGGUGCGGUGCCUUCCGAGUUCCCUGGAACGGGACGCCAUAGAGGGUGAGAGCCCCGUCUGGUUGGACACCAAUCCUCUGUAAAGCUCCUUCGACGAGUCGAGUAGUUUGGGAAUGCUGCUCUAAAUGGGAGGUAUAUGUCUUCUAAAGCUAAAUACCGGCCAGAGACCGAUAGCGCACAAGUAGAGUGAUCGAAAGAUGAAAAGCACUUUGAAAAGAGAGUUAAAAAGUACGUGAAAUUGUUGAAAGGGAAGCGCUUAUGACCAGACUUGGGCUUGGUAGAUCAACCUGGGUUCUCCCUGGUGCACUCUUCCUCGUCCAGGCCAGCAUCAGUUCGCUGCGGGGGAUAAAGGUUUCGGGAAUGUGGCUCCCUCGGGAGUGUUAUAGCCCGUUGCGUAAUACCCUGCGGUGGACUGAGGUUCGCGUUCUGCAAGGAUGCUGGCGUAAUGGUCAUCAGCGACCCGUCUUGAAACACGGACCAAGGAGUCGUCUUCGUAUGCGAGUGUUCGGGUGUUAAACCCCUACGCGUAAUGAAAGUGAACGCAGGUGAGAGCUUCGGCGCAUCAUCGACCGAUCCUGAUGUUCUCGGAUGGAUUUGAGUAAGAGCAUACGGGGCCGGACCCGAAAGAAGGUGAACUAUGCCUGUAUAGGGUGAAGCCAGAGGAAACUCUGGUGGAGGCUCGCAGCGGUUCUGACGUGCAAAUCGAUCGUCAAAUAUGGGCAUGGGGGCGAA